rnacentral:rRNA from 1 species
GCGUGAGUGAUGAAGGCCUUAGGGUUGUAAAGCUCUUUUGUCCGGGACGAUAAUGACGGUACCGGAAGAAUAAGCCCCGGCUAACUUCGUGCCAGCAGCCGCGGUAAUACGAAGGGGGCUAGCGUUGCUCGGAAUCACUGGGCGUAAAGGGCGCGUAGGCGGUCUUUUAAGUCGGGGGUGAAAGCCUGUGGCUCAACCACAGAAUGGCCUUCGAUACUGGGAGACUUGAGUUCGGAAGAGGUUGGUGGAACUGCGAGUGUAGAGGUGAAAUUCGU